rnacentral:rRNA from 1 species
CCUUGAAAUACCACCCUUUAAUGUUUGAUGUUCUAACGUGGACCCGUGAUCCGGGUUGCGGACAGUGUCUGGUGGGUAGUUUGACUGGGGCGGUCUCCUCCUAAAGAGUAACGGAGGAGCACGAAGGUUGGCUAAUCCUGGUCGGACAUCAGGAGGUUAGUGCAAUGGCAUAAGCCAGCUUGACUGCGAGCGUGACGGCGCGAGCAGGUGCGAAAGCAGGUCAUAGUGAUCCGGUGGUUCUGAAUGGAAGGGCCAUCGCUCAACGGAUAAAAGGUACUCCGGGGAUAACAGGCUGAUACCGCCCAAGAGUUCAUAUCGACGGCGGUGUUUGGCACCUCGAUGUCGGCUCAUCACAUCCUGGGGCUGAAGUAGGUCCCAAGGGUAUGGCUGUUCGCCAUUUAAAGUGGUACGCGAGCUGGGUUUAGAACGUCGUGAGACAGUUCGGUCCCUAUCUGCCGUGGGCGCUGGAGAACUGAGGGGGGCUGCUCCUAGUACGAGAGGACCGGAGUGGACGCAUCACUGGUGUUCGGGUUGUCAUGCCAAUGGCACUGCCCGGUAGCUAAAUGCGGAAGAGAUAAGUGCUGAAAGCAUCUAAGCACGAAACUUGCCCC